GUGGCUUAACAGACAAAAGCUGUCCAGCUCUGGCUACAGUUCUUGGAUCAGAUAUCAAUCUGAAAGAGCUGAACAUGAACUAUAAUAAUCUGCAGGAUUUAGGAGUGAAGCUACUCUGCGCUGGAUUUAAGGAUAUGAAUUGCAAAUUAGAGAUACUGAGGCUGCGUGGUUGUGGUCUAACAGAGGAAAGCUGUUCAGCUCUGGCUACAGUCCUGAGAUCAAACUCCAGUCUGAAAGAGCUUGACCUGAGCAACAAUAAUCUGCAGGAUUCAGGGGUGAAGAAACUACAGAAAAGAUUAGAAAAUACAAAAUGCACAUUGGAGAAACUCAGACUUUCAGACUGCAGUA